rnacentral:rRNA from 1 species
UACGUAGGUGGCAAGCGUUGUCCGGAUUUACUGGGCGUAAAGAGCGCGCAGGCGGUCGUGCAAGUCGCGUGUGAAAGCCCCCGGCUCAACUGGGGAGGGUCACGCGAUACUGCUCGACUCGAAGGCAGGAGAGGGAAGUGGAAUUCCCGGUGUAGUGGUGAAAUGCGUAGAUAUCGGAAGGAACAUCAGUGGCGAAAGCGACUUCCUGGACCAAUACUGACGCUCAUGUGCGAAAGCGUGGGGAGCAAACAGG